AGCAGCCGCGGUAAUACGUAGGGUGCAAGCGUUAAUCGGAAUUACUGGGCGUAAAGCGUGUGUAGGCGGUUCGGAAAGAAAGAUGUGAAAUCCCAGGGCUCAACCUUGGAACUGCAUUUUUAACUGCCGAGCUAGAGUAUGUCAGAGGGGGGUAGAAUUCCACGUGUAGCAGUGAAAUGCGUAGAUAUGUGGAGGAAUACCGAUGGCGAAGGCAGCCCCCUGGGAUAAUACUGACGCUCAGACACGAAAGCGUGGGGAGCAAACAGGAUUAGAUACCCUGGUAGUCCACGCCCUAAACGAUGUCAACUAGCUGUUGGGGCCGUUAGGCCUUAGUAGCGCAGCUAACGCGUGAAGUGACCGC
rnacentral:rRNA from 1 species